rnacentral:rRNA from 1 species
ACUCAAAGGAAUAGACGGGGGCCCGCACAAGCGGUGGAGGAUGUGGUUUAAUUCGACGCAACGCGAAGAACCUUACCUGGGCUUGAACAGAUAGGUAAACCUGUGGAAACACAGGCUGGGGGCAACCCCGACCUAUUAGAGGUGCUGCAUGGCUGUCGUCAGCUCGUGUCGUGAGAUGUUGGGUUAAGUCCCGCAACGAGCGCAACCCUUGUCGUUAGUUACCAGCGCGUUAUGGCGGGGACUCUAGCGAGACCGCCGGCAAUAAGCCGGAGGAAGGUGGGGAUGACGUCAAGUCCUCAUGGCCCUUACGUCCAGGGCUACACACGUCCUACAAUGGCAGGGACAACGGGAUGCAAUACCGCGAGGUGGAGCUAAUCCAUUAAACCCUGUCUCAGUUCAGAUUGCAGUCUGCAACUCGACUGCAUGAAGAUGGAAUCGCUAGUAAUCGCAGAUCAGAAUGCUGCGGUGAAUACGUUCCCGGGCCUUGUACACACCGCCCGU